AUGAGUACUGAACAAUCAACAUUCUGUAAACAAAUGGGAAUACAGUAAAUGCAUGUUAAUUUGAUUAUGCAAUUUAUAUAAUGUAUCCAGCAUAGAGAGUGUAUUUCAAAUAUUUUCCAGUUCUUUAAAAUAAGCAUUCUCUCUCCAAAGGGAUAAUACAAAUUUAUGUAAUAGCCUAUUUGGAAAAAUACUGUGUGAGCUCAACUGAGCACCGCUGUCCUUGACUUGGGGUUCUCUGGAUGGGUAGAAGCCUACCAAUGUGCAAAAGCUGAUACCAUCACUGUGAGCAAAAAGUUACUCAGAGACUUUAUUCCAAGGUUUAGUAUUCCUUUAUCCAUAAACUCUGAUAGAGAAACUCAUUUUACUGGGCAAAUAAUGGAAGAAGUCUGCAAAGUCCUGCAAAUCCAGCAGCACUUUCAUUGCCCCUACCAUCCACAGGCCUCAGGCCAAGUAAAAUGCCAAAAUGGCAUUUUAAAAAAUAAACUGGCCAAAAUUUGUUCUGAAACUCACUUAAAAUGGCCAGAUGCACUUCCCAUAGCCCUUAUGAGUAUGAGAUCUACUAUCAAUCGAAAGACCAGACUUGGCCCACAUGAAAUCCUGAUGGAAAGACCCAUGAGGCUCCCUGCCUCACCACCUGUUGCCUCCCACUUUUGUGAUAUACAUUUACUUGAUGAUACUAUUCUAGACUACUGUAUGGCACUAAUGAAGUGUGUCAAGGCUUUUCAUUCACAAGUACAAGCAACUCUCCCCAAAGAACAAAAUGAGCCACGCCAGUCCAUCCUGCCUGGUGACUGGGUUCAUGUAAAAAUCCAUCAAUGAAAGUCAUUGCUGGAACCCCGCUGGAAAGGCCCAUUCCAGGUACUCCUGACAACCAACACUGCAAUAAUAGUGUCAAUAGUGUCAAAGACUCCAACUGUGGAUCCAUGCUUCACACGCUAAGAAAACAUCAGCUCCGUUAGACUUAGUCUCCUCCAUAUCAACCUUGUAAUCAGCCUCCACAGACUGGUAGUGAGCCUAGCGCCUGCCAACAAGAGAGCUUAAGACCAGUAGUGAGCCAAGCGCCUACUGGCAAAGAGAAUUUGCCACUACAGAAUGAAGAAAAUGUACCCCAACAACACCACUAUGCCCUUUAAGAGAAGAAAAAGGCCUCUACCUAGUUCCUGGUUCCUGAGGUGAGGUUAGUUAGUUAUGACUUAAGUACUUCUCAGCCUUUCCUUUUGUAUCAUCUUAUAUGAACUUAAAGACUCACCAGCUAAAAGAAACUUUGUAAAUCAAACUAGACUUCAAACUAGGUCAAAAAGAUCACUCCCACACUGGUAUGCUCACCAAAACACUUUUCGUCAACUGUCUUAUCAAUAUGCAAAAAAUUUAAAUGUUUCCAAAUGUUAAAUAUGUUCCCAUUUGCCUCCUAGUACAAUGAUAGGGGUGCCCAUGAUUGCUUUAUCCCUUAAGUGGACCAACUUUUAUGAUAUGUAUGACCCACAGCACAACUACAGUGAGUGCCAAGAAUUUUAGUCAAAUCAAACCUUUUCCCAACGUCUUCCUCCCUCUUCUGAUCCUGCUCCAGUUUUAGUUCCUUGGGCUCUACAGUUAUUCAUAGUCUGUUAAUAUUGUUUGUUUUUUUUUUAAAUAUUCUUAGUACUUAUGCUAAUACGAUGCUGCUUAAGUUGUGCCGCUAAGCAAAUGCAAAAUAGCUUGUUAACCUCUGUGCAAAGAAACGAAGUGUAUAAUAUGUAUGUUGAACUAAUAGAUGGUAAAGAGACAGAAAAAUUAGAAGUUAAAAGGCUCAUGGCUAUAAAUAUGUAAUAUGUUGGGCCAAAAAGGCCCAAAAGGGGAGAAUGUGGAAGUAAGUUUAACUAGGCCUCUUCCUUGACUAAGAAGAGAGACAAAGAGAGAGAAAGAGAAGAGAAAAAGAUGCUGAUGCUGUGUGUUUCAAAAUGUUCUAAGAUAAGAAAAAAUCUUCAUGCCUUGUUUUGUCUGUGUGCACAUGUUAACCUUCUCCUUCCAGCCAAACUAGAAGCUGAUAACUGUUCCCAAAACAUAGUGUUUUUUUAAAAUAAGUAAACUGCUUACGUGUGACAAACAAAUAAUCAAUAUCUUUCUGUUUCUUUCAAGGUUGCUUUGUCUGAACCCUGCAUCUCUUCUCGCUUUCUAAAGUAUAAAUAUGCUUAUAAACUUGUAGAGGUCAAAGUUCCUUUAAAAACUCUUCCUGUGAUCACUUGUAUAGCUUUAAAUAAAUCUAGAUGACUCUGCCAAUUCUAAUACAA